GCUUGUCUCAAAGAUUAAGCCAUGCACGUGUCAGUAUAAGCUUUUAUACGGUGAAACUGCGAAUGGCUCAUUAAAUCAGUUAUAGUUUAUUUGAUGGUUCCUUUACUUGGAUAACCCGAGUAAUUCUCUGGCUAACAAAUGCGAAAAAUCUCGACUCACGGAGAGAUGCUUUUAUUAGAUCAAAACCAAACGGCUUCGGCCGUCUCAUUGGUGACUCUGAAUAACUUUGGGCUGAUCGUAUGGCCUUGUGCCGACGACGUUUCCUUCGAAGGUGUGCCCUAUCAACUGUCGACUGUGAUAUAGACGCUCACAGUGGUUUUGACGGGUAACGGGGAAUCAGGGUUCGAUUCCGGAGAGGGAGCCUUAAAAACGGCUACCACAUCCAAGGAAGGCAGCAGG
rnacentral:rRNA from 1 species